GGCUCAGGACGAACGCUGGCGGCGCGCCUAACACAUGCAAGUCGAACGAGAGAUGAGGAGCUUGCUCUUCAAAUCGAGUGGCGAACGGGUGAGUAACGCGUGAGGAACCUGCCUCAAAGAGGGGGGACAACAGUUGGAAACGACUGCUAAUACCGCAUAAGCCCACGGCUCGGCAUCGAGCAGAGGGAAAAGGAGCAAUCCGCUUUGAGAUGGCCUCGCGUCCGAUUAGCUAGUUGGUGAGGUAACGGCCCACCAAGGCGACGAUCGGUAGCCGGACUGAGAGGUUGAACGGCCACGUUGGGACUGAGACACGGCCCAGACUCCUACGGGAGGCAGCAGUGGGGAAUAUUGCACAAUGGGGGAAACCCUGAUGCAGCGACGCCGCGUGGAGGAAGAAGGUCUUCGGAUUGUAAACUCCUGUUGUUGAGGAAGAUAAUGACGGUACUCAACAAGGAAGUGACGGCUAACUACGUGCCAGCAGCCGCGGUAAAACGUAGGUCACAAGCGUUGUCCGGAAUUACUGGGUGUAAAGGGAGCGCAGGCGGGAGAACAAGUUGGAAGUGAAAUCCAUGGGCUCAACCCAUGAACUGCUUUCAAAACUGUUUUUCUUGAGUAGUGCAGAGGUAGGCGGAAUUCCCGGUGUAGCGGUGGAAUGCGUAGAUAUCGGGAGGAACACCAGUGGCGAAGGCGGCCUACUGGGCACCAACUGACGCUGAGGCUCGAAAGUGUGGGUAGCAAACAGGGGUAGAUACCCCUGGUAGUCCCCCCCCGUAAACGAUGAUUAAAGGGGUUGGAGGAUUGACCCCCCCAGUGCCGCAGGUAACACAAUAAGUAAUCCACCUGGGGAGUACGACCGCCAAGGUUGAAACUCAAAGGAAUUGACGGGGGCCCGCACAAGCAGUGGAGUAUGUGGUUUAAUUUGACGCAACGCGAAGAACCUUACCAAGUCUUGACAUCCCUUGACGAUGCGGGAAACAGUAUUUCUCUUCGGAGCAAGGAGACAGGUGGUGCAUGGUUGUCGUCAGCUCGUGUCGUGAGAUGUUGGGUUAAGUCCCGCAACGAGCGCAACCCUUAUGGUCAGUUACUACGCAAGAGGACUCUGGCCAGACUGCCGUUGACAAAACGGAGGAAGGUGGGGAGGACGUCAAAUCAUCAUGCCCUCUAUGACUUGGGCUACACACGUACUACAAUGGCGUUAAACAAAGAGAAGCAAGACCGCGAGGUGGAGCAAAACUCAGAAACAACGUCCCAGUUCGGACUGCAGGCUGCAACUCGCCUGCACGAAGUCGGAAUUGCUAGUAAUCGUGGAUCAGCAUGCCACGGU
rnacentral:rRNA from 1 species